CUUGCCCUAAUCCCCUCUUCAGCCGCACAUACACGAUCUCUCUGUCCUCUCGUUCUGCAUCUCUGGUGACCGGAGAAGCUCUGGCCGGCCACUAGCCGUUGUCUUGUUCUCCGACAAUCACCCACAACACCCCUAACCUCCUCUCAUCACCUGUUCGCAUCACCCAGCACCCCCUGUUGCUGGAUUUAAUGGUCGGCCACCACCAUUACUUGGUGGUGUGCGGCGGCGCGUGUACAAACGGGAGAGGAGAGAGACGCGGAGAAAGAGAGAAAGAUAAAAGAGGAUGUCGGCGGCGACGAUCCGCCGUCGGCGGCGGUGAUACUCGGUGACGAACGGCGUCAGUUCCAGCGAUUCAGAGCUGGUUCGAGCUCCGGUCGACGUUGUUUCAGUCCAGUUCCAGUUCCAGUUCGAAUCUUCCUUCGGGAUUUUGUUCGAUCCCGGUCACCGACGACAGCUGGAGCCGCAUCGACGGGAAAUGGUGUCGGCAGUGGUGUCGGUUUCAGAUUCAUGUUGGUUUCAAGGUUCGGGUUCGGCUUGUUCGGGCACACGGUUCAGCAGGUUCGGUGUUCGGUUCAACCCAGUCAACACCGGGUCAAACCUGGUCAAACUUGGUCAAGGUCAGGUUUGAUUGGUGCCGGUCGACGGUCGGAAUAACGGGUUACUCAUGAGUCUUAGUAUGACACUUACGAUACAAUUAUUUUUAUAGUAUUUCGGUUUAUACAUUUUUUAUACUAAUCAAGCUCAAACCGCACACUUGACGUUUAAUUGUAUUGUAGCAUUUGACGUGAAUUUUAUAUAUAAUGUUGAUUCACUUAUUGAGUUUUUAAAAUAUAAAGACAACUUGAUUGUCGGGAACGUCCAAAAACGGAGGAAACUCUGCCCGUUUUCAUAAAAAUUCGUAUGACAAAAUGUGAUUUAAUUAUAAAACGAGUGUCCUUUGUCUCUUUUUUUUUAAACUCUAAAAUUUACUAACUUUUUAAAUUCGUUUUAUUAAUAAAAUCUCUAAAUUAAUAACAUAAACGAAUGAUUCUUUUUAUAACAAUAAAUUUUAUAAAAUAUAAUAUACGAAUUCCGAAUUAUGCAAAACAUAAAUAUUAGGAUUAUUCCUCUUUUUUAAACUAAUAAAUAAUAAACGAAUUGGUACGUAGAUCAUCAUUAUCAAAUUCACAAAAUACUUGGAUAAUUAAACUAAUAGUAAUCACCUCUCGUGCGGUAUUCAUACUUAGGUUAAUCGCUCUCGUUCGUUCUCUUGGAAUUCCGUUUACUCAUGCACCAUCGUCUGCCCAUAUAGGGUGACCUCGGUGUUCCAUCCUCCUAAUCUCUUACGCUCGUCACUGGAUAAUCGGAAGACUUAGCAAUUCUGUUGAAGAUAACGACGCUUUGAAAUUCGAGUAGUGAUGAUGCUUAGAUACACACAAAGACGUCUUAAGCUUUAUUUCGUUGUAUCAAUUUGUACUUGUUGUAUUCUUGAAUUGAACAUAUCGUAUAUCAUGUUGUUGUAUUUGAUUUUAAACUUUGUAAUUGACUUGUAGAAAUGGAAUGAAAUCCAUUAUUUAAUUAUUGUCACAAAUAGUGUUAUGAAGUCUCUUGCAAUCUCGUUUUCGUCUCACUCCUAUGUUUCCGCCAUUGGUUGGGGUGUGACGGUCACACCCCAACCGAUGGUGGAAACAUCGGGGUGAGGCACUGAGCGAAACAGAUUGUCCAAGAAAAUCCAUAACACUAUUAGUGACAAUAUAAUUAACA